AUGAAGAACGUAGCGAAAUGCGAUAAGUAAUGUGAAUUGCAGAAUUCAGUGAAUCAUCGAAUCUUUGAACGCACAUUGCGCCCGCCAGCAUUCUGGCGGGCAUGCCUGUUCGAGCGUCAUUUCAACCCUCGAGCCCCCCCGGGGGCCUCGGUGUUGGGGGACGGCACACCAGCCGCCCCCGAAAUGCAGUGGCGACCCCGCCGCAGCCUCCCCUGCGUAGUAGCACACACCUCGCACCGGAGCGCGGAGGCGGUCACGCCGUAAAACGCCCAACUUUCUUAGAGUUGACCUCGGAUCAGGUAGGAAUACCCGCUGAACUUAAGCAUAUCAAUAAGCGGAGGA
rnacentral:misc_RNA from 1 species